ensembl:misc_RNA 7SK 7SK RNA
GGAUGUGAGGGUGAUCUGGUUGCGACAUCUGCCAUCCCACUGAUCGCCAGGGUUGACUCAGCUGAUCUGGCUGGCUAGGCGGGUGUUCCCUUCCUCCCUCACGGAUCCAUGUGCGUCCCUCCUGAAGCUGUGUGCUCGGUCGAAGAGGACGGCUUUCCCGGAAUAGAGAUGGACCGGUCUUCGGUCGAGGGUAUACGAGUAGCUGCACUCCACUGCUAGAACCUCCAAAGAAGCUCUCAAGAAAAAUACUGAUAGAAAGUCGGGCGGUAGCACAGCGGGUUAAGUGCAUGUGGCACAAAGC